rnacentral:rRNA from 1 species
AUGGAGGUGUCCAAGCAGGCGUCCUGGCCCGACGACUUCCUCUGCCCCAUCUCGCUCGAGCUCAUGACGGACCCCGUCAUCCUCCCCUCCGGCCACACCUUCGAGCGCCGCAGCAUCCAGCGCUGGCUCGACGGGGGCCACCGAACCUGCCCCGUCACCAACCUGCUUCUCCCCCCUGACCCCACGCUCAUCCCCAACCACGCGCUGCGCCGCCUCAUAGCGGCCGUUUCCGUUUCGCCGGCGGCCGUGUCCGCGGACAAGGGGGACUGCCAGGGGCAAGGGGUGGCGCCGGUGUCGUCCUCCUCCGUCUUGGGGAUGCUCAGGCUGGCCAAGUCUGGGCCGGCCGGGCGGAGGGAGGUGCUGGAGUCCGGCGCGGUCGCGGUGCUGCUCCAGCACGCGGCCGCGGGGGACGAGGCGGCCGCUAGGGCGCUCCUGUAUCUCAGCCUCGACGGCGACGACGCGCGCGUGGGCCUCGUGGCGGACGGCGCCGUCGACGCGCUCUGCGCGGCCGUGUCCGGCGGCGGCGCGGCCGCUGCCCACGCGGCUACGGCGCUGACGAGCCUCGCCACUGUGGGCGUCAACAAGUGCACCAUCGGGGCGCAUCCCUCUGCCGUCCCGGCGCUGUCCAGGCUGCUCUGGCGCGGCGGCGCGCGGGAGCGCCGCGAGGCCGCGACAACCCUGUACGAGCUCUGCAAGCUGCCCGAGAACCGCCGGCGCACGGUGCGCGCCGGGGCCGCGCCGGCGCUCGUCGAGCUGGCCGCCAAUGGCUCUGCCCGCGCCGUCGAGGUGCUCGGUCUCCUGGCCAAGAACCGCGAGGGCCGCCACGACCUGUCCAAAAUCCCAGACAUCGUGGCCGUGCUCUGCACUGUGGCCGGCAGCGGCAACGCCCGUGCAAUCGACCAGGCCCUGGUCGUCCUCAACUGGAUUUGCUCCGAGAGCAACGAAUUGGCAAUGGAGGCAAUAAAGCUGGGAGCUUUCCAGCUCUGUGAGGCUCUGGUGAACGACGACAACUGCAAGAUUGCCAAGAACGCCGUGGAAUUAGCCCGGACACUCGAGAAAGCUUAG